CCUACGGGUGGCAGCAGUGAGGAAUAUUGGUCAAUGGGCGGAAGCCUGAACCAGCCAAGUCGCGUGAGGGAUUAAGGCCCUGCGGGUCGUAAACCUCUUUUGCCGGGGAGCAGAGGUCCGGACGUGUCCGGGCCGGGAGAGUACCCGGAGAAAAAGCAUCGGCCAACCCCGGGCCAGCAGCCGCGGUAAUACGGGGGAUGCGAGGGUUAUCCGGUUUGAGUGGGUUAAAAGGGUGCGUAGGCGGGCAUUUAAGCCGGCGGUCAAAUGUCGGGGCUCACCCCCGCCCUGCCGUCGGAACUGGGUGCCUUGAGUGGGCGAGAGGUAUGCGGAAUGCGUGGUGUAGCGGUGAAAUGCAUAGAUAUCACGCAGAACCCCGAUUGCGAAGGCAGCAUACCGGGGCCCUACUGACGCUGAGGCACGAAAGUGCGGGGAUCGAACAGGAUUAGAUACCCCAGUAGUA
rnacentral:rRNA from 1 species